rnacentral:tRNA from 1 species
UCCCUAGUGGCUCAGGUGGUAAAGAACCUGUCUGCAAUGCAGGAGAUCCAGGUUCAAUCCCUGGAUUGGGAA